AGAAUCAACGCUGGCGGCGUGCCUAACACAUGCAAGUCGCACGAGAAAGGGGAGCAAUCCCUGAGUAAAGUGGCGCACGGGUGAGUAACACGUGAAUCAUCUACCUCCGAGUGGGGAAUAACCUAGAGAAAUCUGGGCUAAUACCGCAUAACACUUACGAGUCAAAGCAGCAAUGCGCUUGGAGAGGAGUUCGCGGCCGAUUAGUUAGUUGGCGGGGUAAUGGCCCACCAAGACGAUGAUCGGUAUCCGGCCUGAGAGGGCGCACGGACACACUGGAACUGAAACACGGUCCAGACUCCUACGGGAGGCAGCAGUGGGGAAUUUUGCGCAAUGGGGGAACCCUGACGCAGCAACGCCGCGUGGAGGAUGAAAUAUCUUGGUAUGGUAAACUCCUUUCGAUGGGGAAGAUUAUGACGGUACCCAUAGAAGAAGCCCGGCUAACUUCGUGCCAGCAGCCGC
rnacentral:rRNA from 1 species